UUGGCGAAACGGUGAUCCGAGGCCAUCGAUCCUCGCCCGAAUUCCAAGUUCCAUCAUCCAUGCUGCUUCUCGGAUAUACUGAUUACCUUAUGGGUUCUAUCCUUCGCCGAGUGCCUGCCUUGCUGCAUCCGUGAUAGCGCGUAUGCCGCUGGUGCGGAUGCAUGACGGAGACUGUACGGCUUUGCCGUACCGCUGAGGGCGUCGACUCGAGGUGGGAUUCCCCUCACACGGGGUCGGGAUUCAUGAUCAUGCUGGGAGCCUGCGGCAGUGCAAAGCGAUAUCCUAGAAGGCUACCACGAUCAGGGCGGCGCCUAGACGCAGCAUACCCGCUGCAAGUCUCAGAAUCGGCUGCGUUACGGACAGGCUGCUCAGAUCGCACUACAGCACCCGCUACCAAAUGGGAACGUGAAGCACUGGCGUGGCAGGCUCGUCCGGCUCACGGGACCGCACCCCUUGAAGGUAAACUUUCGAAAAUAGGGGAAGCGUUUCCCAUUUUCUAACGUUUACCAUGCGGGUCGAACGAACUUGUUAUAUCGUUACUAGUAAGUUCUUAGUUUGUGGUCUUUGUUCUAUAUAGUGCGGUCGAGAUGCGCACCUGCAUUUCUGGUAGGCGUGAGAUACGACGCGCAUCUCGCCGUUGAAGGGGAACGCGAUCCUGACCGUUAGCGUGCCGCUCUAACUUACAAGUUGGAUCGACGUUGAAGUGAUUGCAAAGCAUAGGCUUUCAAUUCAAUUGUAUUUCAACCCUCAAGUGAGUGUAUUCAAGUGCUUCUUCGCGGUUUAUAGCAGACGCGUUCAAAGCGCGUUCGUUUUCGAAUGUGAAAAAGAAAAGGUAUAGACAUGCAAGUCGAGGAUUCUGGAGGCCCGAUGUCGCCGGAUUCGACAGCAAAAAACGAGAAAAAACCCGCAUCUCGCCUGCUGCCGGACGAAGGAGAGCAUGUGACGUAGUAAAAAGAAGAAGGUAGAUAGAAGAGAAAAGAUGUUGCGUCGACGGGACGAUGACGAGAGUGUAGUGGCACAGAGGGCACGCAGUUCAGGAACCCUUGCAAUCGUGAGUUCCACCAGAGGCAAUGAAUGCAUGGAGCUCGUGACCCAAGACUUUAACGCCGCCAUCCAGACCAGACGAAAUGUGGUGCUGAAGACGAGAUCCGAGACGCUGAAGCGAGCCAGCUUCCUGGGAGCAUCCUUCUGGGGUCGAAGUGUGCAUGCAGAAAUUGAAACUGAUAGCAGGUCACGGGUCAAAAUAGGCAGAGAGGCGUCUGCGGGUGGAUGCGCUUUUACCCUCCAUGGCCGUGAAACGUUGUUCGUUUCGCUGAACGUGUUUGUCUGACAGAAGCCGUUUAGAAUGUCCAGGGAUCCCCGAUUAUGUGAUGGAUAUCAGCAGUCGGGAAAGCGUUCAUCGUCGCACCUAUAUCCAAGUUCCUUUAUCUCGAUGUGGGUGAUCUGCGCUGCUGCGGCUGUAGCUGGCAAUCCAGCCGCAAUCUAUGGAUUCGCGUGAUGCAUUCUGACUGGGCAUGUUGGCAUUGUCACGAGGUCCAGCGCAUAGAGCGUGUAAAUGCGAAUACAAUGAUCAAGUACGGACUGCCAUUGGUGCAGAAUUGUCUGGGGUAGAGAUCGGUCUAGGUAUUGUACAUGGAGCAGGUAAACAGCGACCCA
rnacentral:misc_RNA from 1 species